AAACAGGCAAAACAACAACAGCCAGCACAGUUAGCUCCUUUUCUUGUCACCUCAACCAAAUACCUGCCAAGAAGUAACCGAAGAAGGAGGGUCGCCGGGCUCCCGCAUCCGGAGCACAGUCCUUGGCUGUGGGGAAGGCCAGAGGUAAUUCGGCAGAAUUAUCAGAGGCACUGGCUGUGUUGCCUGUACAAGAGACUGUCCCCAGGAAGAAUAUCUCAUCCAUGAGCGAAACAGAGCUGUCAGGACGUGGACUUCCAGACCUCAGCACUACUGCCGUGUGGAGCUGGACAACUUUUUAAAUUUUAUUUCAAGUACCUGUGUUUUGCGGGCAUAAAUGUCUCCACGUGUGUUCCGUGCCCUCGAAGGUCAGAAGAGGGCAUCAGAUCCCCUGCAACUGGAGUUACUGAUAAUUGUGAACUGCCUUUUGGAGUCUGGGAACUGGACCCUGGGCUUCUACAAGAGCAGCAAAUGAGCCAUCUCUCCAACUCCUCAAAGAAGCAUUUUAAUUGAAAAUCCAGUCCUCUUUGUUUUCCUGCGUCACGCCGCGUUUGUGAAGUCCUCUGCACUGAACCCUGGACACUAUGCUAAUGGGUUUCAUUUUCUUUCAUUUCUUUUUUGUAAGAACCCUCAACUCAAAUCAACACAUUCCAUUUAACUGGGGAUUCAAGCAAACACGAUAGUUAGAAUUACUUUGGACUCAGCCUGGCGGUGGUGGCGCACACCUUUAAUCCCAGCACUCGGGAGGCAGAGGCAGGCAGAGCUCUGUGAG